UCUCUUAUAAACACACCAUCAGCAACUGGUGGCAGAACUCUGGAACAGUUUUAUAUAUUUCUGAAACACUCAGAUCAGAAAGCUCUGAACUAGAGCGUUUAUCCCAGAAAUGGAAAAUACAAUUAUCUGGAGUUUAUUAUUUGUAGUUGCUAUUCAUGGAGUCUGGAGUGAGAUCAAACUGGACCAGUCUCCCUCUGAGGUGAAAAGACCUGGAGAGACAGUGAAGAUGUCCUGUAUCAUAUCUGGUUAUAGCAUGACAAGCUACAAUAUGCACUGGAUACGACAGAGACCAGGAGAAGCUCUGGAGUGGAUUGGGUGGAUGAGCACAGGUAGAAACUCUGCUAGCUAUGCCAGCUCCUUUCAAAGCCGUUUCAUCAUGACUGAAGAUGUGGCCAGCAGCACUCAGUACCUCGAGGUCAAGAGCCUGACAGCACAAGACUCUGCUGUUUACUUCUGUGCUCGACACACACACUGUGAUGCUUUUGACUACUGGGGUCGUGGGACUGAAGUCACAGUAUCUACCGUAAACGCCGCAUCGCCGACUCUGUUCCCGUUGGUUCAGUGCACACCCGGCUCUGCAGAUAAAGUCACCGUUGGUUGUCUGGCAAAGGACUACUACCCAAAGAGUCUUAUUUUCCAGUGGACCGACGGCAGCGGGAACACCCAGACUUCUGUGCAAUAUCCUCCGGUUGAGAAAAACAACAAAUACACAGGAGUCAGUUUGUUGCAAGUACAAAAGUCUGACUGGGAUUCAAAGAGCUCUUUUAAUUGUUCCGUGACUCACCCUGGAGGCCAAAAAAGCGUGACACUGGAAAAACCCACCCCUCCAAAGGUAACUUUGCUAGCGGUGCCAGGAGGAGACGAUCAGACUCUGGUGUGUACAAUUCAGGACCUCAUUUCAGAUGAACUGUCAGUUAAAUGGAAAAAGGAUGUAAACGAUGUCACUGGCUUCACCACUUGGGCCGCCCAAAAGACUGGAAGCCUAUAUUCAGCUGUCAGUGUCCUGAAGGUCAGGAACACAGACUGGGACAGUGACGCUGUUUACACAUGUGAGGUGAUGCACCAAGGAACAAAGCAUACGAAGAAGGUCACUAAAGCUCCCAUCACAAUGACACUGAGGCAUUCAAGUCCCAAAGACGUGUUCAUCAACAACCAGGCUAAGCUGGAGUGUGUCGUUACCGGACAGGACAUUGGUCAAAUUCAGAUAACUUGGGAAAUCGAUGGACAAGAUGUGACCGGCAACAACACUGAAACGACAACGUCUGGAAGCAAAAUCAGCACGAUCACUCGCAGUCGUACCGACUGGAAGGGAGUCAACACGGUGCGCUGUUUGGCCCUUAGAGACAAUAUGACACCAGUUAUUCAAGACCUGACUUUCAACAAAGGAGAUGAGAGCGAGCCGAAAGUAACCGUCCACGUCCUCCCAGAGGAGGACAUCUCAUCAAACCCAGCUAAGGUCACUCUGGUGUGUCUGGUCUCCAGUCGUCUGAAGACGGAUUACUACAUCGCCUGGUUAGAACAUAUUGGACGAGAUGUCAGCAGCUACACCGAUGGCAUUGACUCCCUCCCGCAGAAGAACCAAGACGGCUACUCAGUUACAAGCAUUUACACCACCACCAAGGACAAGUGGGACAAGUACACCAUAUUCUCCUGCAACGCCUGUCCUGCUACUAACAAUAACUCCAUGAGAUCCCGAGACGUGUCUAAGGCCCAGAAUAACUCGAGUCUUUGUAAGAAAUAGCAGAUUUAAAUGUGGCAUUUUGUGCUAAUGUGUUGUACUGUGUCUGCCGUGGGAACCCGUCUUUGUGAUUGUAAAUCUUACAGUCAGUUUACUCUCGUUUGUCAUCCUAUUGUGUUUCAAUCUGUCUUCGUCACAUUGUCUAACAGCUCUAAAGUGUGCUUUCAAAUAAAUGUUGCAUGGAGA